UACUUCGCCGGAGUAGAGAUCUUUCAUAAGGUUUACUUCGCCGGACUAGCCCAACAUAAGAACCCCUUGGCCAAAGGGGUUCUUAAAUUUAUUUGAACUGCACAGGAACUUUUCUUUCCCAAAAUUACGCGAAUCCGGCCUUAUAUAAAUGAAAAACGUGAGGUGGGACCACGCUCUUGGCUGCUUGGUGUGACGAUACAGAUCCUUUACAAGAAAGAUUGGCGAUUAGUUCCACAAAAAUUACUCAACAUGCGACGGACCACAAUCAACAUCAGGCGUUUGGAAAACAAAUAUCGUCAAGAGCUGAUUUCAAAAAUCACAAAAGUUUUCCCAACACUACGACACACCCAAUCCACACAGCCAGGUACCGGAAGUAAUAAAGUGUAAAAUUUGCGCGGAUCCCCUCCUGAGUUUAAGCUAUCAAAAAAAACUAUCCCUGACCCAUUGGUUGGAGUCUGACCAAUUAAAAUUAAGUAAACUAUAGUAAACAAUUAUUAACCCUAAAAUCAAAUCUAAUAUGAUUUAUAACACAUUGAUUAAGUUCCUUGAACAUAAAUAAGUAGCUAAAUAUAUCAUUCCGGUGUAUAUUUAUUAGAAAUACCUUGAUGUAGAAAAGUGGUAACAUGAAAGAUUCAGCGCAUAAUCGGGCAACAACGCACCGCGCAGAAUCAGCACUGAAUUCGGCAGGUAGGUAGGUGGAGUUUCAGCCGGAAGACAAAGAACGAAAAGAAUCGAAAUGGUCAAAUGUCGACACAAAUUCCCAUCUUUAGGAAAUAAUCCACACAAUGCCAAUCGUUCAUCUACGAAUCUACAAAAAUAUGGAGCUAGGCAUGCACUUGGGUGGAUCUAAUACGAUUUCUCCCUAGGAUCUCACGGCCGGCGACAGUUGUGGAUGAAUAAAUAUUAUUUACUAGACCUGGAUACGAACGCAUUAAGGUAAUACACAAUACACAACCUUGUAAUUAAGGUGACAGGACCCACAACGGUUCCUGUGAAAUAACCUGCAUUUGAAAUGAAUUACAAAGAGAAAAUAUAAUGUA